rnacentral:rRNA from 1 species
CCUACGGGCGGCAGCAGUGGGGAAUAUUGCACAAUGGGCGCAAGCCUGAUGCAGCCAUGCCGCGUGUGUGAAGAAGGCCUUCGGGUUGUAAAGCACUUUCAGCGGGGAGGAAGGCGGUGAGGUUAAUAACCUCAUCGAUUGACGGUACCCGCAGAAGAAGCACCGGCUAACUCCGUGCCAGCAGCCGCGGUAAUACGGAGGGUGCAAGCGUUAAUCGGAAUUACUGGGCGUAAAGCGCACGCAGGCGGUCUGUCAAGUCGGAUGUGAAAUCCCCGGGCUCAACCUGGGAACUGCAUUCGAAACUGGCAGGCUAGAGUCUGGUAGAGGGGGGUAGAAUUCCAGGUGUAGCGGUGAAAUGCGUAGAGAUCUGGAGGAAUACCGGUGGCGAAGGCGGCCCCCUGGACAAAGACUGACGCUCAGGUGCGAAAGCGUGGGGAGCAAACAGGAUUAGAUACCCCGGUAGUC